UACGGAGGAUGCAAGCGUUAUCCGGAAUGAUUGGGCGUAAAGCGUCCGCAGGUGGCUGUGUAAGUCUGCUGUUAAAGAGCAAAGCUUAACUUUGUAAAAGCAGUGGAAACUACACAGCUAGGGUGCGUUCGGGGCAGAGGGAAUUCCUGGUGUAGCGGUGAAAUGCGUAGAGAUCAGGAAGAACACCGGUGGCGAAGGCGCUCUGCUAGGCCGCAACUGACACUGAGGGACGAAAGCUAGGGGAGCGAAUGGG
rnacentral:rRNA from 1 species